ensembl:snRNA U6 U6 spliceosomal RNA
GUGCUUGCUUCAGCAACACACUAAAAUUUGAACAAUAAAGAAAAGAUUAGCAUGGCUUCUGUGCAAGGAUGACAUGCAAAUUUGUGAAAUGUUCCAUAUUUUU